rnacentral:lncRNA from 1 species
UUACUGAAAUUCUCAUGAGGUGACAGAAGAGCAUAGCACAGUACAAAACCUGUUAAAAUAUUCUCUAAUCAUCUGUCUUAUCUUCUGCUAGUCUCUCCUAUCGCCUCUUUCUUUCUCUACAAAGUAUAGCCCCACUCCCACCACAGGGUGGUGUCCCUCUGUGACUUGAGCACUGUAGUCCUUCCCCUCAGCUGCAGUGCUUCACUCCGCAAAACAAGAAACAACAACAUGGGACUUUUCUAGUACAUUCCUUGGGAAACUUGGUAUGUCCUGCUUGAAAGAAAAGCCCAAAUAAGACUGCCAAGAUCAUCCAGAGGGCUGCUGUAGUAUCCUAGGGGUCUACUCCAGUCCCUGGUUACCUCGAAUUUUCCAGUCCCUGGAUGUCUCACCAGUGAAGGUUGUGAAACAGCAAAAAUGGCAGCCUGCACCCUCCUCUGGGAGCUCCAUCCCAAGAAGAUGUUGGCACUUCUUAGGAAGGAGCCAUCCAUGUCUGAAGAGAAGAAAUGAUAAUUAACUUCAUCAUGUGGAAAGCUUUAGAAGGAAGUAUCUUGUCCUUCUGUCCAAACCCGCCUCCUCCUUACCACCCCCAAUAAAAAUAAAAGCCAAACAAAUAAAACAUUAGCAGUAGCUCUGAGUUUCUUCCUUUCACUUUUUCUCUCUCUUCAUGCCUUUUCUCCUCCAUUCCUUCCUUCUUUCAAAUCAUUUUUACUAGUUUAAGAGAAUAAUUCAAUCUAUAUUUAGAAAUCAGACUUAAAACUUCAAAAAUUAUACUGAAAUAGCUUCCCCUUAAAGGGUGAAACAGUCAUGAUAAAAAUAACAACCGAUAGAAUAAAAUAAUAUAAAAUUAGCUGAGUUUAUAGUUUCUUUUACACCUCCAUAAUUUAUGUGGAUUUGGAAAUACAGACAGUAUACUGAAAACUAAGAAGUUUUCUAUGAAUUAUGAGAAUUUGCAAUCCACAUAGGCUUAAGUCUAAUGUUAGAAGAUAAAACAAAUUGACCUUAAAUAACUUUCUGACAUAACCUCCCCAUUUCAUGGAUGAAAAACCCUAAAGCUCUCAUAAGUAAAGUGAUUUACUUCAGGACACAAACUAGUUGAUUUAGUUUGGAUGUUUGUCCCCUCCAAAUCUCAUGUUGAAAUGGAAUCCCCAGUGUUGGAGGUGGGGCCUGGUGGGAGGUGUUUGUGUCAUGGGGCAGAUCCAUUAUCCUUAUGAGCUGCUUGGUGCUAUCCUUGUGAUAGUGAGUGAGUUCUCAUGAAAUCUGGUUGUUUAAAAAUUUGUGGCACCUCCCCACCAGCCUUGCUCCUGCUCUUGCGGUGUGAUAUGCCUGCUGCCUCUUCACCUUACACCGUGAUUAUAAGCUUCCUGAGGCCUCACCAGAAGCAGUUCUUCUAUCAGGAUUUUAAGAGGGCAGGCAGAACUUUAAAGCAAAGGAAAUUGCUUGUUUUUGUGAAAUUAACCAGUCUGUUAUCAAGGCGGAGGACAAGAUACGAAUGCUAAUCAUUGUGAAGAAACUCAUUACGGAAUUUUCUCCAAUACAUAGGCAAAAGAAGUGGCUGUUAUCAUUUUGCACUAUAACCAGACAUAUAAUGCUGUUGCUCCACAUCCACGUCAGAGAUCCUUGAGGAAUCACCACACUGUCUUCCACAAUGGGUGGUACAUCCAGAAAACAGAAUAUUACUUAGUGCUAAAAAGAAAUGUGCUAUCAAGCCAUGAAAAUAUACAUGGAAAGCGCAACACGGCUGAAUAGAAACAGCUCCGUUCUGCAGCUCCCAGUUGAUCAAUGCAGAAGUUCGUAGGUCUUGAGAUCAAGAGCAACCCCAUGUGGAUCCAUGGUAGAUCACAAGAUCUGGAAGUUUGUGCCUAAUGUUGUUAUCAGAUGAGCCUUUUGGGGAUGUCCUGAAGGG